rnacentral:rRNA from 1 species
GGAUAAGCCUAGCGCUAAGGCUCAACGGGAUGGUCAGCAGCAAUGUUGGUCGUCUUCUCCGAGAGCCGUUGAGCGGUSAGCGUUACAAACUGCGAUGUUUAGUUGAACCAUUGGUAGUAAGUUGGCAACAAUUUGCUACCCUCAGCCUAGCAUGCAAGUUCCAUUGACUUGGACUAAUUGCAUAUGACUACUUGAUUGGGGCAACUUGAUUAAGUAGUUGAGCCAAAGUGGGUGAAAGCCCUAUACCGUGCAGGCAUUGGUUCUACGGAUUGCAGAGGGCCGCAAGGCCCGAUUUUUAAGAGUCGAGUUGCUUGAGAGUGCAACUUAAAGUGCGAGGUAAACUACUCGUAAGGCUACGCAAUAUGGCUACGACACCGAUAGCAAACAAGUACCGUGAGGGAAAGUUGAAAUAGAACUUUGCAGAGAGAGUUAACAGGGCGUGAAACCGUUAAUUGGCAAACGAAUCGGAGCCACGAAGUCGUUUCGUUGUUAAGCUUCGGCUGGGUUCAGUCCAAAUUGCAAAAUUUGGGUGUAUUCUCGUGCUAAGCCUAACUUUGUAAGCGUACACUGCAACUAGUUAGACAAUCAAAGAUGGGCACAGUUGGAGUUGGCUUGAAGCAAUUCUUGUUCAGCUUUCAACGAAGCAUUUGUUUACCCGUGUUAGUAGUAGUGCGGUAGAACUUCGGUUUUAUUCGUGCUGCUGGGCAUGUUGGUAAGUGAACUAUCAUUGAAUACUGACUAGCAAAAUAAAAAUCSCCUCUUGGCGUAACACAAAAAGCUUUUGCUUAUACUAGAGUCUACAUGCUUGACCAUAAGGUUUAAGUUCAGCAUUUUUGAAUUUAGACUUGCUUGCUACCAAUGGGGCAACUCUUGGUGCUUGUAUAGCUUCUAUCUAAUCGGGUGUUGACUUGAUCUUGUGUCGUUUGAGUAUGAAACGAUUGGAUUUUUGUAUAAAGUAAAACGCAAUU